rnacentral:lncRNA from 1 species
UGAUCUCUUUUUCUAUUUUUUCCUUUUUUUUUCUCUUUUGCAAUAUGCAACUAGGACAGGAAAAGAUCUUGGUUAACACAGAUACAUACACACACAAAUAUAUAUAUUUAUAUUGUAUGUUCUUUUAUGUAUGGCAGUAUGAAUUAUUGAUCAUGUACCUUGUGAAAUCAUGUACUGGAAAAAAAUUAACACUAGAUGGCUAUAAUCACAAUCUCUAUAAGUGUGAAACCGGUGUCUGACCACUGGUAUGAUGAAAAAUUUCAAUAAGCAAAUUUUAACCGUUUAGCAUUCAGAUAUUCCUCUGUCAAAUGUAAUGCCUAUUUAUUCACGUAAUUUCAAGAUUUUGAGUUGUUUAUUUUUAGAAUGACAUUGAAGAGUGGGUGUGAGAGGCUGGAUCUGACUGAUUUUGAUAUAAAGCAGGAAGAAUGUUUGAGCUAGAGAAGGCCAGUUCAAAUGCUGAAGGGUUAAAUGAAAGAUGUACUGGAGAACUUGUAUAAAAAAAGACAUUUACAUAAAAUAUUUCGUUUUUAUAUUUAGUUUGCAAGAUUCUUGAUGUGAACUUGUGUGUUGGAACAGAUUUUGUUGUAUCUGGGUGUGGGGAGUCAUUGUGCCAAUAAUAGACACACAUACAGAUUGUAUGUUUGUUUGUUAUUGUGUAUGUGUGUGCACGUAUUUUUUUUGUGGGGUGGGGCAUUGAAAUAAGUACCAGUCAAAUACUGGGGUUGAUGUAAUCCUCCUCCUCCUCCUCCAAAACUGUUGGCUCUGUGCCAAAUUUGGAACCCUUAUUGUGUGGAUGUUCAUUAUAGGUAUUGAAAUUUACAUCAAAACAAACUGGGAAAUAGUUAUUGAAAUUAAAAUAAAAUAAAAUAAAAUAAAAUAAAGUAGCAGGGCAAAUUACCAUCCUGAAGCAUUCUGUUGGGGCAUGGGGCCUAUUGUUUGUAAACUGGUAUGGUCUUGGAAAAUCAAGACAUGUGGACAUCACAUUCUAAAGUCAUUUCUUAAUCAGCUUAAAUGAUAAGCUGCCUAGAACUGCUAAACUAUUGCGCGUUGCGGCCGGUACGUUCACACAGGGAUGAGGUUUCUGCUUGUUCAGUGGUCUCCAGUCCCCAACAAACCAACCAUGAUACAUUCUGAGCAUUCGAUAACUGAACAUGAUCUGCAUUACAUGACUUUAUAAAGGCUGUGGCUGCAGGCAAUGAAGCUCUCGCCGUUCCACAAGUUCAUCGGAGUCUGUUCAGGCACUUCCAUAGGGGUUGUGCAACAUCUGAUAUGACAGAUAAAUAGAGGAUGUCAGUAAAAUAUUCAGUGCCUAACAAGACUGGUGAAGGAGGCUAAUUUUAGGGGUUAUAUAUAUAUAUUAAAAGAAUAGUUAUCUGUCUGUAAUUAGAUUUAAUUAAUGCUGCUUGUGCUAGCUAGCUAGCUUGGUAUAAUUAACUUUAAUUAUAGGCUGUGUUUGCUCUGGAAGAAGCAUCCCUCCCCAUCCUAAAAUAAGUAAAAAAAAAAAAGGCCUCCAAAGUCAUGGUUCGGGAUGAGUGGCAGGAUGUUAGAGAAGUGUUAAUAUGGCAACAAAAAAUAACAACAGCU